AUAGGCUUCAGGCUGAGUCUGGUUCAAGUUAACUCCCCAUGUCUCUUAAGCCGGGAUCAGCAACUUCUCACAGUGGAUGGCUGAGGUCCAAGAAGCCAAACCAAGUCAAGCCAGACCUCGUAGCUUGCCUGAGGAAACUUACAUGUGUGCACUGUGAAACAUACAGGAUCUUCUCUGACACUCGUUUGUUGUGUGAAAGCCUAGAAAGAAUCUAAAUAUCCAUCAAUGGAGGAAGUGUUAAAUAAACUCUGGAUGAAUUACAGAUGACUGUGUCAGAAAAAAAAAAAAUUCCUGGGCCAGAAAGCAAAAGGAUGGUGGGGAUGAAGGCACUCAGGCGCAGUGAACAAUGUCAGCCACGUAGGAGUUAGAGAAGACAGUCAGUGGACUUAAGUAACUGGCUAAAUGCUUACAAUCUUCCUGGCGGAGGAUGGGAGCUACAAGUGGAUAUGGAACCCCAGGGCUUAAACCACUACUGCAGGAAAAGGCCUGGCAGAAUAAAGUAACUCAAGACCUGAAAUUCAAAUACAGGACCUCAAAAAUAUAAAAAGCUGAGAAAACCUAGGGUUUGAGGAAGAACAGAUAGCAGGGGUGUGGGCCCUUUGCAGGGCCCUGGGGGUGGGAGGCAGUGCUUCAGGUCAGAAUCUACAAAACUGGGGAAAACAGGCCCUUGGAACCCCAGAGAAGGUUGGUGCUGAACAAUUGGAACAGCUUUCCUGGGGCAUUUCUGCUGAAUCUCAGACCUGCAUAGACCUGAGCAUCCACAGCAAGAGCAGCAUAGGACGACUAAAAAUGUCUGUUCAGGACAUGGUGUGAAGGCUUUGUCACCAGACAGAGCACGGAGUGGCCAGGAACCCAGGGGGAGAUAUGAACUAAGAGGUUUGAAAUCAGUUGGGUGGCUAAGAA